CGGAGGAUGCAAGUGUUAUCCGGAAUCACUGGGCGUAAAGCGUCUGUAGGUGGUUUAAUAAGUCAACUGUUAAAUCUUGAGGCUCAACUUCAAAAUCGCAGUCGAAACUAUUAGACUAGAGUAUAGUAGGGGUAAAGGGAAUUUCCAGUGGAGCGGUGAAAUGCGUAGAGAUUGGAAAGAACACCAACGGCGAAAGCACUCUGCUGGGCCGACACUGACACUGAGAGACGAAAGCUAGGGGAGCGAAUGGG
rnacentral:rRNA from 1 species